CAUGGGCAUAUCCUUUUGAGUCGUCUCUCACCAACAAUGCGACUGCUGCCAUUGAUUGUCGUGCUUUGUGUGGUGUUGGUGACCACUGAAGGUGGUAGGUGUCGCAAAUUCGGCAAGGCGUGUGGAAAAUGGAACAGGGAUGUCUGCCGCUGGUGCUGGAGACCUCACAAGCGUCUCUGCUGUCUUCCGGGCGACACAUACGGUGAGUGCGGGAGAAAAUGCAGUUUCCCAAAUACCUGCAGCACACUAAACGGCAACUGUCACAAAGGAUGGUGCUGCGUAUACUGCAAAGGAAAACAUUGCAAGAAUGGCUAGCUGCACCACUUGCUGCCGGCUGCCGCUGUCGUCAAGGGAUGGAUAACGACUGCACUGACGCCAGAUGUGAAGUGACUGCAUGCACAAGGAAGACCCAUGCUAUGUUGGUGGUGUAACAGCAAAGUCGUACGUAAUUCUUAACAGGUGUUUAUGCGAACCGGACAUUUAGCUGCUUGUAGUUGGGCUUUACGUUGAAUGCAAUUACGGAACCAACUAUUUGUUAGCAUCUGUUGUGCCAGCUCAAGAUGCAUCGGCGCCGGUCCGUAAAGCAUGGGUAUUGUGGCGGGCAGUGCGAACGACACCUGGUCAUCUGACAAACGUGUACUCGACGUCCUCAGGUACAAAGUAGGUCAUUUUCAGGUUGACAAAAUGCCCAUAUCAGCGUCUCAUGGAUCGACAGGUCCAGACGCAGACUUCUUUCCCGCUUAAGGUAUGGAACUCGAGGCAUGUAAUUCGUUGAAAUUGAAAACAUUGAAAACUGCAGCACUCAGAACAUGGACGUUUUCUGCGGCGAUCGCCUGCUCUUCGAUCUCCUGAACUGCGACAUUCCGAGCACUGAUUUCUCUAAUCCAAAGUCUCUUAACUUUGACCUUGUACCAGACUUUUGACAUUGUAUCGGCCGAAAAGGCCUCGAACACCUGAACGUAGGCCACCUUAGCGCCGAAUAUUUCAACAUCGACCUUUUGUGUCUCGGUUUCCCGAGCUUCUCAGGUCUGGACCUUGGCCUUCUGAGCACGACCUCCAGAUUCUUGAGCCAACCUUGAAGAAAAUCGUAGGAAAGCCUAAAUAGUUGAGUUUUUCAUGGCCCCUAACUGUUGCCUGGAAAAUUUGGGCAUUUUUUUUGCAUCUGUACAGUUUUGUUCACUGGUGCUUCCAUUUAACAGAAAACCCGGCAUAUUUUCCUCGUUAAGUAAGUAACAAGUUCGAUUAUCAAGGCUUUCGGUGAGGUUUUCGCUCCAUGCAUAUCGAUUUUACAUCAGAUUCCUUCAGCCAGAUUAAUGAGCAUGGGUUGAUGACUAGAUGAGUCAACUUCGAAGAAAAACAUAAGGGCCACCUUAUAGCUAUGAUUGCUUCCAACUAUUUCAACCUACCUCUUGACAAGAUGCGUGAUGAUCGUUUUCACAUUUCAUUUCCAUCGUUUGUGUUGGGGUUUAUCAGUGUUUUCAUUUGAUAUGCAGCGCGGCCUACGCAUGCUGUAACGCCGUUACACAAGCGAAACAUUCUCUUAGAUAGUUUUCCUACGUGAUUUCGCCGUCCUAAAGAUGGUCCAUAUGGUUUCUGCAGCCAUCAAAAUGAGCAUCGGUCGACGGUCUAAUAAAUUGUUACAAAAAAGCCCACGGGCAGCAGCAUAGACAAAACGUUUUGCGGAUCGUGUACAACUUCCACUCUAGGCAAGGUAGGUCAUAUUAUUAAGCAUCGCUGCCUUGGCAUCAACAGGAGUUCCCUCGAGAUGAUGCAGCUGGCUAGAAUUUUGACUUCCUCGGGGAGAUAUUUGCCCGUAAAGUGCACGAAUGGUGCCAAAUCUAGGCUGAAUUUGGGGUAAGAUACGUUACAAUAUUGUUCCAGGGAAUAAAUUGACAGGAUAUUGCUGCUAAUUUAAGUAUCAUUCAUAACUGAGUAUGCAACGCUGGGCAUUUAACGUAUAAGCUGUCUGCUGGAUGUCACCCUAUAGAAUGCAAUUUCCUAACAAACAGAAGUGUUCCACAUUGCUGUUUUGGCCUGAACUAGCUAUCUUGAGGACCUUUCGAUACUGUUCACAAUCCUGCCCUUUUUAAGACAUGACACACACGCCGGAUGAUUAAGACACAUACGCUGGAUGAUUUUUAAUGUACUUGAGCCAGGUAUAUGGAGAGCGGAAAGUUUGAAGAAAUGUUACCAAGUUGUGCUAAACACAACCUUGCACCAAACUACGCAUCGAGCUUAAACAAUGCCUCCGAAAGCAGGAGUGCCUUUCGAAAAGAGCCGCUGUGUUAGACGCUACAGGUGAGAAAUCAACACCAUAGUACGACCUUUCAUGUAAUUCCUAUGCCAACGCCCACAUCCUCGAAUACAUCAGUCCCUUAACACGCGCUCGGGUGGGAGGGGUCAAAUUGACCCCCUCCCCGAAAAUUUUUCCCGAAUGGUUCCCAACAAUUCCCGGUCCCUGAUCCGUAAAGAUGAAAACUGUUGCAAAACAAGCUGCAAAAGUGAAGCCAGCAAGAGGAGUCUUUCUAGGGUGGCAAGGAACCCUCAAAGGGGAAGUUAAGUGGUCAGGCAGUGUAUCGGAUCCUUUCUUUGUACAUGAUGGUAUGCGUCAAGGGGGUAACGUCUUACCACUGCUGUUCAAUGUGUACAUAGUUUAGCCUCUUUGUGAGUUGCAAAUGUUACCAAUCGGUUGUUAUGUGGUGAAAUGUACAGCGAAUGAACUAGUCUCUGCUGUUGACAGGGUGCUUUUAUCUACCACGAGGAGAGGGCCUGGAGCGUUGGCUCGGAUACGCAAAGGAUUUGCCAUGCGCAGAAAUAUUCAAAUCAAUAAAGAAAGCUGUGCAUGUAUUUCAACUCUCAAAGAUCAUAUACAGUGCCACACCUGUCUAACUCAAGCUCCCCAACAUCAUUGUUAAUGAAUACAUAAUAGCAUGAGCGGAGGAGCUUAAACAUAGGCCUUUUAGUGGCCAGUUCUCCCAGUGGCAGUCAUGUUAUGCGAAGAGUUUAAGUGUCCUUGUAUAACGGCAGAAAACUUUGAUCUAACUGUUCCAAGCAUAUUAUACCAGCGUGUAUAUUGUGAACUGUGCAACACUGUGAAUGGAAAGAAAGGAUUUCGAGAACGCUGUAUGGCCUACCACUUAUAUAAAGAGAAGCUGGUAAGGGUGCCGCGGUGGACAAGGAUUCAUUAUCUGUGUAAAAAGCUUGAACCUCUACCUAUGGAUAUCUGGGAACAGCUUCUAUGGAUAUGUGGGAAACGAUCUCACCUUAAGCAGUGCUUGUUGUGCGAGCUCUGACCCCUGCCAUCCGAUCGCGCGAUUCCACGCAACGGCAGAAUUUCAUGGCGUACGUUUAACGUGCCGCAAUGCUCGGCACGGUCCGUCCUGCCCUCUGACGUCAUCUGACCUUUAUCGCGGCCGCUGCCACCGGCCGCAGGCAAUACCUGACAAGGACAAAUAGAGAGCGCUCAAAACGACGCGAACGCACCCCGGCAUGGGUGGCAGAAUCGGAAGAUAGGAGCUCUGACCAACUGAACGAACGGGACGGGAAAGUCUUGUCCCAGGUUAGCACCUAUAUAGUAGCUGGAGUUCAACCAAAUACUCGUGUCCGUUGAGAACAGCAUUGUUGAGGCAUUGCACGUAAGCAAAGUAGAGUUAGUGGGGUCAUUGCCAGGACAUGUGCGCAUGCGAGACAUGCAUAUAAUUUUAUGGCAUCGAACCUCCCGGCAGUCAGCAGGUCACAUGUUCGGGACAUCUUUUCGCCCACCUGGGUCGGUUUGUCCGUGAUCACCACCAAAUGCACCAAGUAGGUCAUGACCCAGAAUAAUGUCCUCCGACCUUUCAGGCAAGUACUGACUGCGUUGCCUUCUGCCUUGAUUUAUGCUUGUGAGUGUGCUACGUUUGUCCUUUAUGUGCGAAGAUAGGUACCAGUCUGAUGGUGGAAAAAGAACUGGAUUAUUGAUAUCAUUAUUGCUAUUAAACCAGACGUCUCUGAUCUACCUCUCCGCAAAAGGUGCAAAAAGGUCGAAAAUGUUACAAAUUCGGCCAGGCGUGCGGUACAUGGAACAGGGAUGUCUGCCGCUGGUGCCGGAAACCUCACAAGCGUCUCUGCUGUCGCUCGGGCGACACCUUCGAGGAAUGCAAAGCAAAAUGCCACUACCCAUAUCAAUGCCGCACAUUAGGAGGAACGUGUACCAAAGGAUGGUGCUGUCCUCUGUACUAUCCGUAGACGGCCGCCACGUCGAAGACACCGAUGUUUCAGGUGGAAAGUGUUACAGAUUCGGCCAGGCGUGUGGAAAAUGGAAAACAAAUGUCUGCCGCUGGUGCUGGAAACCUCACAAGCAUCUCUGCUGUCUUUGGGGCGACACCUUCAAGGAAUGCAGAAGAAAAUGUCGCUUCCCCCGUCGAUGCAGCACAUUGAGAGGACGCUGUAGCAAAGGAUGGUGCUGUAUUCGGUGCAAAGGAAAACAUUGCAAGGGUUAACUGCACCACCUACUGUCGGCUGCCGCUGUCAUCACGGGAUGGAUAGCGACUGCAGUGAUGUUGAUAUGUCGCUGCAUGCACACGGUAUUCCUAUUUUAUGUUGAACGCACUUUUGCAAGAUCGUGUUCGAUUUCCUGCACGUGUUUAUGCGAACCGGACAGGCAGCUUCUUAGGAGAGGGUGUUACAUUGAAUACAAUUACGGGAUCGUG